rnacentral:tmRNA from 1 species
GGGGGUGCACAGGAUUCGACGGGGGGCUGACGCCUCGUAUGCCGCGCACAGGGUGGGACUUGCACCAUCCUUAAGCAACCGCAAGUACGGCUUAACCGCCAACUAUAGCUAUGCUAUGGCUGCCUAAGCUCCGCGGGCUAGUACCGCGUUGACGCUGUUUCUCUCUUCGGAGAGAGGGUGCCCUUCUGCAAGACUCAUUAGAACGAGCGAGUCUUGAUCACAGGAGUCGUAUGUUCGGUCUCUUUCACGGGAAACGCUCUUCGUCCCGAGAUCGUAUACAGGAAGAGCAAUGAUGGAUGUCGGUUGCCUCUUGCUAUGGCGUUCAUCAUUAAAUAACAAGAGGCUACGUGCGUAGACGCUGCGGAACGUGCUUUUCGGACAGGGGUUCAAUUCCCCUCACCUCCACUU